AAUGAACUCAUCUGAAGAUCCCUUCACAUAGUUAGGAAUUUGAAAUUAUAAAUCUAUUAGUUCUUCAUUAUUUGUCUUUGCUACGACACCCGCCAAUCCACCUUUCGUGACAAAGUUGAGCAAAAUCACAGUAACCAUGCUUGAUAAGGAAUAUCAUAUAAUAUAGUUCUGAUGAGCCAAACAACUCAAGAUUUUUCAAAAUAAUGUAGAGAUUCCAGUACAGAAGUAAUUAUAGUGAAUGAUGGCGGCAUGCAAAAUCAUUGAAACGACAAUAUGAACAUGAGAACAAAAAGAAGUACCCUGUAAUAAGAAAUGUUGUUAGGCAAGGGCCAGAGAUGCAAACCAAAAGGGAAAAAUUAUACAGCAUGAGUAAGCAUAAGAAUGCUGCACCCACCCAACCAAAAGGGCAAAAUUACACAAUGAGUACACAUUGAAAGGGCAUUAAAAAAUGAAACAAUUAACUAGAGAAUGGUUGUAGGAGUGAAGCAGUUCUCUUUUCCAUAGGAAUUUGUUCCUUUGAUAACUUCCUAGUUCUAUAUCAAGGAGAUUUGACAUUUGACAUUUCCAAUCAAAGAAUGGUGCACCUAGCCAAAUCUCUAAACUUCUUAAGCCCACACCCACCAACCCUUUUGUUCUGUGAAAGCAAACAGAGAGCAAUUCCAAUUUUAUAUGCAAUUCACAAUUAAGGUUUUCAAACUCAAUUCUAUCUUUUUUUGAAUGGGCCCAAUUCUAUCUUAUACUUUGAAUGACCAUUAUCACAAAUGAAAGUCAGCAAUGACUCCUAUCUUGUUCUUCAAUUUUGAUUUUCAAAAUACUUCAGAAUAACACGAUAUUAGUGACAGCUUAGUACUUUUUCAACCAUGCCAAAGUGACAAGGUUUUUUUUUUUACCGUAUAACCAAUAAAAAAUUUCAAAUAUUCUGAAGUCUUUCACUAAGGAAAGAUGUGCUGAAAGGUUGAAUUAUAAAAAAAGAGGACUCUUUUUUUCUUUCUUUUCCAAACAAAAAGAUGUGAUUUCCGUUUACCAGCCAAAUUUGCAUAAAAAAUAUUACAAGAGACAAGGUCGUUAAUCUUCAGAGGAAACCUCCAUUCACGAUAGGAAGGUAUCUUGGGAAGAAACAAAGUUUGCAAGAGCAUGUACUACCCUAUCACAAAUACUUUUUCUUUUUUUGAGGGAACACUAUUACAGUUACUUGAAAGGACCAAGUUAACAUACAAAAUUACACAGCAAGAGUUACAACGGUUCUUGUCAUUCUAUUAACAACUAGAUACACAUAAAUUUUACCCUCAUUUCGACAGUUAAGCACAUGAGGAAGAGAAACCCAAUCAUUUUCUUGUUAAUUCUCGUAACAACUUAUAGGGUAUAAUUUUGUAGAGGUUAAAAGCCAUCCAAAGUUUAGAAAAUGGUCAGAAUAUGUACAAAUAAUUGACUUUACAAAUUAAUACCCAAAACAAAAUUUGAGCCAAGCACAUUUUUAUUCUCAAAGCUAGAGAACUGCAAGUUCAACACAAUAAUUUUUCAGUCAUGUCAUCCUUGUCGACUAAAUAAAAAGAUGAUUAUCGCUACUAACAAAAUUGCAAGCUCAGAUAACCAAACGGGUAUCUCUUCAAAACGUGAAAGAAUCAAAAUAGUGAAAGCCAAAAAUUCAAAAGUGAGAGGAAAUGGAAGUUACGAGAAAUCAAUUUCCAAGCGGAUUUUGCCAUCCUGUAGAGCGUAAGAGAGAGAAUUGGCAGCAUCAGUGACGAGCACUUCAUAGGACUUGGGCUUGUAAACUGCG
rnacentral:misc_RNA from 1 species